CUGCCGUUGCCUACAGCCCGGCUGUCCCCACCAUCCUCCCGGCCAUUCCCAACCCCCCAACAGCAUCCCCCAUCCCCCAUCAGGAUCACCCCCCACCCCUGCUUCGGCCCUCCUACACUUCUCCCCCACCCCAGCUUUUCUUCCUCUCAGCUACACCCCCAGCCCGGCUCCUUUCCUACCACCCCCAGCGACGCCCCCAUAUCACUACCCCAGCCGCCCCCAGCCUCGCCCAGGGCGGGAGGAGCCGCCGCGUCGCCGGGGCAACCGCCCCCCCCCUCCCGUCCACUCGCCCCACCUCUGCCUGGGCGUGGAGCGAAGGCACCGUGGCUGCGCGCAUUUCCGAGCAAGGGAAACACUAGAGCCCCAGCAUAUCCAGUAUGAACAUCCUGCAACUCCCCUCUGCUGAAGGACCCCUCACCACAUCCACAGCAUAGACACUGCCUACCGCAGCAGGAGGCACCCAGAAUCUGGGGGCCAUGACCCGGCUUCCGUUUCCAGAACUUUGGGACUUGAGCCCACUCUCUUCCUCCUCGGUGCAGAGACGGUCGGUUUCGGCUAGCGGUCCUCUUCGUCUGCCUUCCUAACAAUUAGCCUCUGCUGGGUCUUGUGACAGAUGAUGGCGUUUUGAACCCCUGUGAGAUAAGUGACCUAGACUCAAAUCGUGGUCUCAGCGGCUUCUGGAUGAGCCCAACCUAAGAAGCAGUUUGUAAUCAGUCAAAGCCUGGGAACGGACUGCCAGCUGUCUCAGCAGCAAAAGGCCCCUGGUUGACGAUGAAUCUACUAACAGGAUACUGAGAAGGGCGCAGUACCUUCUGUGGCAUUUCUGCCCAAAAUGCAUACCCUCCGCCUAACGUGAGGAAACAUCAGAGAAAUCCAAAUUGAGGGGAUAACUGGCUGGUGCCCUUUGAAAGUGUCAAGGUCAUGAAAGACACAGAAAGACUGAAGAAGGGGAAUGGUUUGGAGCAAACACUUUAGUUUGACAACUGAAUGUAAUGCGGGGUGUUGGAUUGGAUCCUCGACCAGAAAGAGGACAUGAGUGGGAAAAAUGGUAAAUUCUGAAUAAAGCCUGCAGGUUAGUAAAAAUAGUGUUGAAUCAAUGUCAAUAUCCCAGUUUGGGUCAUCGUGCUGUGGCUGUGUUAGACGUUAACAUUAGGAAAGCUGUUGAAGGAUACACAGGAACUCUGUACUAUUUUUACCACGUCUUUGUCAGUGUAAAAUUAGUUUAACAUAAAGGUUAAAAAAAGCAUCCCCUACAAAUGAUUAACACUGUCAAAAUUGCUCUAAGACCAGGACUGUGAAUCAUAACUGGAAAAAAUUUGCUGGAUUUUUUUUUUGGUAAAAAGCGAAAAAAAAAAGGGGGGGAUUGGGAAACACUGCCUGGUCUACCUUUCAUAAUCACACACAAGCUGGAACAUCCAGAGUAGAAUUUCUAAGUCAUAGUUAGCUCACUCUUGCAAACAGUGUUUUUAAGGGGUUGUUUCUACCAAGUUCAUCUGAGAUGCUUGAGCCAGUUGGGUAAGUAGCUACGUGAAGACCUAACACCCCAUGUGCCAGCCCAAGUUAGAGGGCAGUUUUGAAGACAAGGAAAAUACCAGACUUCCCCAAAGUGGUGUUUAGUUGGGUCUGACACAACACAUUAUUGUCCCUGAAGCGACACAGGAAUUAGAAAAAAAAAAAAAAAAUCGACGGUGUUCACUUUUUUCUUCUCCAACUGAGGCUCCACAGUUGGUGAGAUAAAACUUUUAUAGGUUGCCCUAUUUGUAACCUGCUUAACGAACAUCCAUUAAAUACCACCUGUAUACAAGGCACUAAGGCUGCAAAAAUAAAAAGAACU